rnacentral:rRNA from 1 species
AUUGAACGCUGGCGGCAUGCUUUACACAUGCAAGUCGAACGGUAACAGGCCGCAAGGUGCUGACGAGUGGCGAACGGGUGAGUAAUGCAUCGGAACGUGCCCAGUCGUGGGGGAUAACUACUCGAAAGAGUAGCUAAUACCGCAUACGAUCUAUGGAUGAAAGCGGGGGACCGUAAGGCCUCGCGCGAUUGGAGCGGCCGAUGUCAGAUUAGGUAGUUGGUGGGGUAAAGGCUCACCAAGCCAACGAUCUGUAGCUGGUCUGAGAGGACGACCAGCCACACUGGAACUGAGACACGGCCCAGACUCCUACGGGAGGCGGCAGUGGGGAAUUUUGGACAAUGGGCGCAAGCCUGAUCCAGCAAUGCCGCGUGCAGGAAGAAGGCCUUCGGGUUGUAAACUGCUUUUGUACGGAACGAAACGGCUCUGGUUAAUACCCGGGGCUAAUGACGGUACCGUAAGAAUAAGCACCGGCUAACUACGUG